GAGUUUGAUCGUGGCUCAGAGCGAACGCUGGCGGCAGGCCUAACACAUGCAAGUCGAACGAUCCUUCGGGAUAGUGGCAGACGGGUGAGUAACGCGUGGGAACGUGCCCUUUGGUUCGGAACAACUCAGGGAAACUUGAGCUAAUACCGGAUGUGCCCUUACGGGGGAAAGAUUUAUCGCCAUUGGAGCGGCCCGCGUUGGAUUAGCUAGUUGGUGGGGUAAAGGCCCACCAAGGCUACGAUCCAUAGCUGGUCUGAGAGGAUGAUCAGCCACACUGGGACUGAGACACGGCCCAGACUCCUACGGGAGGCAGCAGUGGGGAAUCUUGCGCAAUGGGCGAAAGCCUGACGCAGCCAUGCCGCGUGAAUGAUGAAGGUCUUAGGAUUGUAAAAUUCUUUCAGCAGGGACGAUAAUGACGGUACCUGCAGAAGAA
rnacentral:rRNA from 1 species